rfam:Octopus bimaculoides Scaffold3191_contig_25, whole genome shotgun sequence.
GUCAGGAUGGCCGAGCGGUCUAAGGCGCCAGACUCAAUGUGCAUGAAUGGUACCUUAACCAGAACAUUGAGUAUUCUGAUCCACUAAUGUGGGCGUGAGUUCGAAUUCCACUUCUGACA